CCCUUCAAAUGCUAUUGAAGUUAGAAACGUGUUUAACAAUGUCGUACGUAACUUUAGAGACGGUCCCUUAAUUUCCGCAUAUCCGCGAAUAUGGAACGUCCAACGUCAAGCCAACUUCCCUAGCCAGUCUGGAUAUCGCUUGUUAUAGUGCAGCUAACCAAUGGGAUUAUAGCUAUGAAGAAUGCCCCGCCUACACCUGGUUUUCAUUGGAGAAAAAGUCGAGCAAACUCAAACUUGUAUGGACAGCAAUUGCGUCAUUUGUUUGCCGUCCAAUGCUGGCGCUGUGAGUUAGAGGGCAGCAGUAAAGCAGCAUGGCGGCUCUGUUAAGGGGCUCUCGUAGUCUUUUAGGAAAGUGGCAUAGCCAUGUCACUUCGGUGCAGGUCUCCAGAUCCAUGGCCUCCAAAACCCAAGUGGGCUUCAUUGGCCUGGGGAAUAUGGGAAACCCAAUGGCCAAGAACCUGAUCAAACAUGGCUACCCUGUGAUUGCUACAGAUGUCUUCCCUGAAUCUUGCAAAGAGCUACAGGAACUGGGUGCUCAAAUUUUGGACUCCCCUGCAGAUGUGGCAGACAAGGCAGACCGCAUCAUUACAAUGCUGCCGUCCAGUCCUAAUGUUAUUGAGGUGUACACAGGCCCCAGCGGCAUUCUGAAGAAGGUAAAGAAAGGCUCUCUGCUCAUUGACUCCAGUACCAUUGAUCCUGCUGUAUCGAAGGAAAUGGCUGUUGCUGCCGAGAAAAUGGGUGCUGUUUUCAUGGAUGCUCCAGUAUCUGGAGGUGUUGGAGCCGCCACUUCUGGUAAGCUGACCUUCAUGGUAGGAGGAGUGGAGGAGGAAUUCACUGCAGCCAAGGAGUUACUAAGCUGCAUGGGAGCCAACGUUGUGUACUGUGGUCAAGUUGGCACAGGACAGGCUGCUAAGAUCUGUAACAACAUGCUGUUGGCAAUAGGAAUGAUUGGCACUGCUGAGACCAUGAACUUGGGCAUCAGGCUGGGGCUCGAUCCCAAGCUACUGGCAAAAAUACUCAACAUGAGUUCAGGCCGCUGCUGGUCCAGUGACGCCUAUAAUCCUGUUCCAGGAGUGAUGGAGGGAGUCCCCUCAGCCAACAACUAUCAAGGGGGCUUUGGAACCACACUAAUGGCUAAGGAUCUAGGACUUGCACAGAGCACAGCGACAAACACGAAGACUCCGGUUCCACUUGGUUCUGUGGCUCAUCAAAUCUAUCGUAUGAUGUGUGCACGUGGUUAUGCCAGCAAGGACUUCUCCUCUGUCUUCCAGUUCCUGCGUGAGGAGGAGGGCCAGUAGGGGGUAACACUCACAAUUGUGGCCUAAUUCUACUCUCCUGCCUCACCAAGACCUGGCGAGAGUAAUGUUUGUUCAUAGUGCAACACCUAUGUGAUCUUGAAGACUUCAAGUCUAUGAAGUCAAAUGAGUGAAUGAGUAGAAAAGAGGAUAUGAAUGUAAAAAUUUAAACAUAUUCAGUCCUAAAGAAUUCAGUCCUUUUCAUUGGAAUCAUGUUACCUGUUUGGGCCUGCCCUGUACAAACCAUGUUCCCAUGUUUAACUCUUGACACUGAAUCUGAGGCAGUGGUUGCAGUUUGUUUUUAAAGCAGAUUCUGUGGUGUUGUGUCCUGUAGACUGACUUUCAAUUAUGUGUGUGGCCAUGUUUGAAUUGCUCUUAUGGUUUCAGCUGAAGGAACUGGCAGCAACUGCAGUGAGGAAGUGACACGUUUAGACUCCACUAAAUAUAAACACUCCUUUUGCUCCAGCUAGCUGAGACACCCCAUACCUUAUCUUACAGUUCUGUAGCACUUUUUUUCUAUUUUUUUUUUGGUAAUGGUUUUUUUUUUUUUUUCCUAGUUUUAUUUUCAGAGUUAUUGCUGUCAUGUCUAACAGGUUUGCAGUGGUGUCUACAUGUCAAAGUUAUGUCUCUACUCUGAAAUUAAAGCAGGAAAAAAUCUGACAAUGAAAGCUGGUUUCCUCCAGGUGACACUUAAAUUCCUGGUUUACACACUCACUAAUGAACUCCAAAUGAUCCUUUUUCUCAUGGUUUUUAUGAUUCCUGCUGCCUGGUCAGUGUCCUGAUUGGCAGUGUCAUGCUGAUAGAAUGAAGACACAUGUGAGGGUGCUUUAAUAUUCAUGGUUUGAAUCUUCGGUGCAUUUUGUUUAAGCAGGUGAGAACACGGCAAUUGCACUGAAGAUAAAAACAGCACUUCGAGAGCCAUUUCUGACCGGCUCUAAGCAACUUGACUGAAUCAACCCAACUGCAGGAAGUGAACCAAACACACUGUGUACACAGGUGUUUUAAAGAAUUAUAAAUUUUUAAUUCUGAUAUUUUGAGAUACUGGAUUUUUGAUUUCCAUGAGCUAUAAGCUGUAAUCAUCAAGAUUAAAAUGAAAAACGGCUUGAAAUAUUUCACUUUGUUUAAUAAAUCUAAAACAAAGUUUGACUUUUUGAAUUAAAUUACAGGAAAAAAUUUACUUUUCCCCAAUAUUUACAUUUUUUUAGAUGCACCUGUAAUAGGUUGCGUGCCAAAGGACUGAGCUGAUCGCUGAGUAGAAGUGCGAUUUGUUUUGGAUAUUAGGACUAAGGAACCAAAACAAAAAGAAAAUCUGGACCAAUUAAUGAAACCGGUUUACGAGUCCAUUUUCAGCCCUACAUCUCAAACAUCCAAAGUUGUUUUGCUCGAGUUUUUAUUUAUUUAAAUAAUUUUUUAAAACUCGGUUUGUUUAAUUAUGUACUGUGAAAACGAACCAAACAAAUUUCGUUUGAUUCUGGUUAAACAAAUAGACUAAAAAGCGUGACAUUUCUCACAUUACAUUUACAUUUAUUCAUUUAGCAGAUGAUUUAUCCAAAGCGACUCAUAAAUGAGGAAAUACAAAGCGAUAUAUCAAGCGGAGAGCAAUUACAAGUAGUGCAACCAUACAAGAUCUUUAAUUUAGUUCUAGAGAAGCAAAGUGUGCAGAGUAGAGGUGUAAGAGACAGAAUAAUAUUUAUUUAUUUACAUAAUGUGGGGUUGGCAUUUUUAAGUGGUAUUACAUGUUCCGUAAUAGCACUGUCCUAACAUCAGGUCAUUUAAGGCAUGACUGUCGCAGUCCUGACAUCAGAAAUAUGAAAACUAGGAAAUGCAAAAAUAAGAAACUGUUAUCAAUUACGUUUAAAGCUGCAACCAUAAACACUGGUUAUUUUGGGCUACAUGUCCUCUUCACUGUCCAUAUGAUUAUCUUGAAAAUUAAAUUGAGUAUGCCUAAAUACCAAAGCCCCGUAGUUACUGAGCAGACAGAGAAUUGGGGUUCCAGAUAAACAGGCUUACAUCUUUUCCCCUCUAACACUGUAAGCCUAUACAAGUUGAUUGAACUUAUUUAUGGAAACUCAUUGCCCUAAAAAAGUUUGUCUUGGUGAACAAACAAGGCAUUUCAAGUUUAAUGUACUUGAUAUUAAAAUAAGAUUGCAUUAAAAAAAAAUUGUUACACUAAUGUAACUUUUAUUUAUUGUAAUAGAUAAUCAGUUUAGGUAACUCAAAAUAUUAAAUUGCACUAACUUGGUUUUUUUUUUAGUUAAACUUAACUUUGAGUAGACAAAACUUAACUUUUUAUUUAUUAUUUGAUUAUCUUUGCAGAAUUGUUACUCUUUAAGUUACAGCUGCAUUAUAAACAAGGACAAAGAAUACAUAUAACAAGGAUUUGUUUGAAUAGGCAUAGUUUAUGAAGCACAAUUAAGACACGUUGACUUUUUGUCUAACAAAACUGACAAUAAAGCUGAAGACAAAUGUAUGUUUUCUUGUCUUACACAGGAAGCUGAUUUGUUAGUGGUAGAACUUUGCCUUUCAACUCCUUCUUACCCAAACAUUAAAUCACUUGCUGAAUGAAAUGGAAUGUGUUGGUCAUACACUUGGGGGGACGAGACCCAUGGGGGGGACGAGACCCAUGGGGGGGGGCCGGUUCUCUAAAUUGUCCAUCACAACAUUCCCCUCCAAGAUGAUUUUCAUGGAGGUGGAAGGAAGGGGGAUGCUGUGCCACAUCUUUACUUUCUAAGUGGAGGAACUGGCACAUGUUGGAAUGAGUCCUCGUCAUCAUGAAUAGAGAGGUUACGUAAACAAACUUUAGCUGUCUAAUAUUCGUUUAGAUAUCAAUAAAUUUUUAUUGAACAUGUUUUUGUUAGUUAUGUGCAUGCACAAUGGUUUAUGAAUUACGUACACAAAUAUAUGCAGGAGUUCAAAAAUCUGAAAAUAUUGUUUGUCUGCUUUUCAAUAAGAGUAAUUGCAUUUAACAUGAACUACUAAUUCAAUUCAAAUUAAAUGACUGAUUCAAAAUGAUAUGCAUAAUUAUAGAAUGAGUCAGUGAGAUCAUCCUGGAUUGCAUUUGAGUUUUAAAUUGUCAUAGCAUGAAUUAAAUUUAGCUUUCUUUCUUUCUUUCAGCAUGCAAUAGUUCAUUCAAACUUCAGAACUCAAAACUUCCUCCUCACUUCUCACAAAAAGAGCAGCCCCAAAUUCAUGUUUGAUUUCAUUCAUUUUAUUAAUAAAUUAUGACUUAUUUUUACUAAUGAUAUAAGAGCACAUCAAGGAAAAUAACAGAAUAAAAAGUAUGUAAUGAUCCUUUUAAUUUACAUCAACUAUGAGAGAUUUUUAAAAUUAACAAUGCUUACAAAGCAUGCUUUGAA